rnacentral:lncRNA from 1 species
AUGACUCUGGGGAGUUUCCUGGCCCAAGACAUGGAGAAUCACACCAGGAGACGUAGAUUUAGUCCACUGCCAACAUUAACUGGAGUGAAUCCUGCAUGGGGACUUCUAACCCAUGAGCUACUGUUGCAGACCCCUGCCCCAACUUUGUGCUCCCACGGUGGGCGUGUCGGAGAGUCUCAGCUGGGGCUGAUUUUCCCGUCAACAAGGCCAGUAAGGAGCGGAGUUUCAGCGCCGGUUGAAGCGCUCACGUUGGGUAGCCUCCAGCCUCGUCCUGCCUCAGUCAGAUUUUCUGUAGCUCUUGUGAUUCUUGACUUGUUCUGAUGCAGCCUUCCCUGUUCACAGAGUACUCUCGUCCUGGAUCCCAGUCUCAGUCCCGGCCUGCCUAAAGUGUGUCUGUCUCUGUGUCGCUCACCUCCCCCGGCCGGCCGCUCUUCACCGUCCAUCUGCCCCGGAUCUUCCUCAACUACAAACCACUCGCCUCAGCCUGGCCCAUCUCAGACCAGACCUGACCAGCCUCCCCCUCCAGCCCAUUCUCCGUCCCCGCAUCGUAAGAUCACUCCAUUUUCCAUUUANNNNNNNNNNNNNNNNNNNNNNNNNNNNNNNNNNNNNNNNNNNNNNNNNNNNNNNNNNNNNNNNNCCCCCCCACACACACACACACACCCCGGUUCUCAGAUCCCUGGUUCUCACCCUAUUCUUUUGUGUUAGAUUUGGAUUUUCAUCCUGUCCCGUUUAUGGAACAGCGUCCUCAGUUUCUCUUUUACUUUCCUUUAGAAUAAACUUUUUGUAAGAUCUUACCUGUUUUCCGUGUGUGAUUCUUUCACGUGGGUCAGCAAACUUCCACCCACCGUGACACGUGUAAACAAAGGAAGCGUUGGUCGCUUUGCGCGUUUAGAGCUUAUAAACCUGCAGAAAAUGGUCCAGUCCUGUUGUGUGACGGGAUGCCAUGCUAUCUUCACAAGCAGGCAAAAAAUAAAAUGUAGGCGGGAAUCGCGUUGCCUGAAUAUUUUCUGUACUUGACCGUUUAUUUUGAUGGAAACAUCUCAGACAGACCGGAAUUACCCCGACGCACACGGCUGUGCAGACAUUUUAAACGUAGCACACAGAACAUCACAGAGGUAGAAAAGAUUUCCAUCAGAACCUCUGAGCGUUAUCUCAGACUUAGACACCAUGAUUGUAUUGGAAUGUUUACCAUGUGAAGUGCCUUGAGACCACUCUUGCCGUGAUUUGACGCUACAUAAAUACACUUGAAUGGAAUUGAUCAGAAGCUUGCUAUCAGCAUGCUGAGGAGCUGUGAGAGCAGCUCGAAGCGUGGCUGUGGGUCACAGGUCUAUGGGCCGGCAGCGGAAGCAGAGCGCGGCAGGUGAAAUGUUCCCACUUUAGGUGAAAUGGUUUGGCCUAAGGACUGAAUCUCUGGUUUAGCAGAUGAUGAGGUCCCGUUGGCUUCAUCAGAACGUGAUCUUCGGCUCUCAUUGAAGCGAUUUGCAGCCGAGCGUGAAGCAGCUGGGUUGAGAAUCAGCUCCUCCGAGUCUGAGACCAGGGUUACGAGUCGGAAAAUGGUAGAAUGCCUUCUCCAGGCCAGGGACGAGGUCCUGCCUCAAGUGGAGGAGUUUAAGUAUCUCGGGGUCUUGUUCACAAGUGAGGGAAAGAUGGAGCGUGAGAUCGAGAGGCAGAUUGGUGCUGCGUCUGCUGUGAUAUCAUACCGGUCUGUCGUGGUGAAGAGAGAGCUGAGCCAGAAGGCAAAGCUCUCGUUUUACCGAUCGAUCUAUGUUCCAUCCCUCACCUAUGGUCACGAGCUUUGGAUAGUGACCGAAAGAACGAGAUCGUAGAUACAAGCGACCGAAAUGAGUUUUCUCUGCGGAGUGGCUUCGAGAUAGGGUGAGAAGCUCGGUCGUCCGGGAGGGGCUCAGAGUAGACCCGCUGCUCCUCCACAUCGAGAGGAGCCAGUUGAGGUGGCUGGGGCAGCUGAUUAGGUUGCCUCCUGGACGCCUCCCUGGUGAGGUUUUCCGGGCACGUCCAACCAGGAGAAAACCUAAAGGAAGACCCAGGACACGGUGGAGGGAAUACGUCUCUCGUCUGGCCGGGGAACGCCUUGGGAUUCCCCCGGAGAAGCUGGUCCAAGUGGCUGGGGAGAGGGGAGUCUGGGCCUCCCUGCUCAGGCUGCUGCCCCUGCGACUCGACCCUGGAUAAGCGGCUGAAAUGCAUUUAAUUGUAACAUUAAUACAAUAAGUAGACAUGCUGGUCAGCUUGUUUGGACCAAAUAUUAAUGACAAUUAAAUUUUUUAUUUUUAUUUAUUAUUAUUUGAGAAAUAAAAUGAUGAGAGGAAACGAUCAUAACUAUUUUUUAAAACUGUGUCGGUCAAAAUGAAAACAAACACGUCCAGCGCCACCUAUAGGUACUGCUUCUGUACCUGCUUCUGUUUUUUACUGAUUACUUGUUUGAUUACGGCUCAUCCAUAAAUGAAAACCUGGCGCCUGUGUUAGUGGAGCCAUGUUUCUGGACGGCUACUUUUUACCUUUACUUGAUCAUAAAUAUGUUGAAGUAGGGCUGUGCUUAUGUGUAUAUGAAACUUCUCAGCUCCGUUCGUUCCCUUUGAGGUCGUACAGAUCUACGUUGCUGAUUGUAGAUCGUUUCUGAAAAUACCGAUUCCUAUCCUCCUUUCCAAGUUUAUUCCUGUAAGGGAUGUGUUUGUCCUUCUUCCUUUGAUCCAUCCUUAUGAAUCUGGUUCUGCUUCAACUCCAGCUAAGACUUCCCCUAGCAACACAAGUCAUACACCCACAAUGGCGCUAAGGGGGUGUGGUUGACAUGCAGGUCACAUGUUCUACAGAGACUGAUUCAUAGAGCUGGCCGUACAGAUGAUCUACCAUCUCCACAUCACACCCGUAAGAAGCCAGUGUUGCGUUAAGCACCCCCCUAACCCUGAGUGUCGCCCAGAUCAAAGUGUGUCACUGUUGCUCGAAUCCCCUAAAUCUAAUCCUGGUUUAUAAAAUGUACCUUAAGCAGUUAUUUUGUCAGAAAUAUGAAGAAACUCCCGCUGAACCUGAGCACUGAACCACGGUAUCUCCAGAGGGGUUUCAAGCGUUGGCCAGAUAUCAAUCAUGACCAAUAUCCAUGAUAGAAUUUCAGGAAUUCUAUCAUCCUGUUAGUAAAUGAAUCCAUCCCUUGUCUAUACUCGCUUAUCCACGCAGGGCUGCAGGGGGCUGGUGCCUUUCUCCAGCAGGCAGGUGGAGUCCACCCUGGACAGGUCACCAGUCCAUCACAGGGCCACACAGAGACACACAGGACAAACAACCAUGCACACACACACACACACACACACACACCUUUGGGAAAAAAAAUCAACCCAACAGAAAUAUGCUUGGACUGUGAGAGUAAGCCGGAGAUCCCGGACAGAACCCAUGCACUAACCACCGACCACUGCUCCACUGUGCAGCCCAUUAUAUAAA